UGGGGAAUAUUGCACAAUGGGCGAAAGCCUGAUGCAGCGACGCCGCGUGGAGGAAGAAGGUUUUCGGAUUGUAAACUCCUGUCUUCGGGGACGAUAAUGACGGUACCCGAGGAGGAAGCCACGGCUAACUACGUGCCAGCAGCCGCGGUAAUACGUAGGUGGCAAGCGUUGUCCGGAAUUACUGGGUGUAAAGGGAGCGCAGGCGGAAGGGCAAGUUGGGAGUGAAAACUAUGGGCUCAACCCAUAGAUUGCUUUCAAAACUGCUCUUCUUGAGUGAUGGAGAGGCAGGCGGAAUUCCCGGUGUAGCGGUGGAAUGCGUAGAUAUCGGGAGGAACACCAGUGGCGAAGGCGGCCUGCUGGACAUUUACUGACGCUGAGGCUCGAAAGUGUGGGGAGCAAACA
rnacentral:rRNA from 1 species